rnacentral:rRNA from 2 species
AGACCGAUAGCGAACAAGUACAGUGAUGGAAAGAUGAAAAGAACUUUGAAAAGAGAGUGAAAAAGUACGUGAAAUUGUUGAAAGGGAAGGGUAUUAGAUCAGACUUGGUGUUUUGUGAUUAUCUUCCCUUCUUGGGUUGUGCACUCGCAUUUCACUGGGCCAGCAUCGGUUCGGAUGGCAAGAUAAUGACAUUGGAACGUGGCACUACCUUCGGGUGGUGUGUUAUAGCCCUUGUUGAUGUUGCCUAUCUGGACCGAGGACUGCGGCUUCUGCCUAGGAUGCUGGCGUAAUGAUCUAACACCGCCCGUCUUGAAACACGGACCAAG